rnacentral:rRNA from 1 species
UACAGAGGCCCCAAGCGUUACUGAGAAUCACUGGGUUUAAAGGGUGCGUAGGUGGUCCGUUAAGUUCGUUGUGAAAUCCCUGGGCUCAACCCAGGAAAUGCUUCGAAUACUGGCGGACUUGAGGCUAGUAGGGGUCACUGGAACUGACGGUGGAGCGGUGAAAUGCGUAGAUAUCGGGAGGAACACCUGUGGCGAAAGCGGCUCACUGGACCACAACUGACGCUGAUGCGCGAAAGCUAGGGGAGCAAACAGG